GAUGAACGCCGGCGGUGUGCCUAAUACAUGCAAGUCGAACGCGUUGGCCCAAUUGAUUGAUGGUGCUUGCACCUGAUUGAUUUUGGUCGCCAACGAGUGGCGGACGGGUGAGUAACACGUAGGUAACCUGCCCAGAAGCGGGGGACAACAUUUGGAAACAGAUGCUAAUACCGCAUAACAACGUUGUUCGCAUGAACAACGCUUAAAAGAUGGCUUCUCGCUAUCACUUCUGGAUGGACCUGCGGUGCAUUAGCUUGUUGGUGGGGUAACGGCCUACCAAGGCAAUGAUGCAUAGCCGAGUUGAGAGACUGAUCGGCCACAAUGGGACUGAGACACGGCCCAUACUCCUACGGGAGGCAGCAGUAGGGAAUCUUCCACAAUGGGCGCAAGCCUGAUGGAGCAACACCGCGUGAGUGAAGAAGGGUUUCGGCUCGUAAAGCUCUGUUGUUAAAGAAGAACACGUAUGAGAGUAACUGUUCAUACGUUGACGGUAUUUAACCAGAAAGUCACGGCUAACUACGUGCCAGCAGCCGCGGUAAUACGUAGGUGGCAAGCGUUAUCCGGAUUUAUUGGGCGUAAAGAGAGUGCAGGCGGUUUUCUAAGUCUGAUGUGAAAGCCUUCGGCUUAACCGGAGAAGUGCAUCGGAAACUGGAUAACUUGAGUGCAGAAGAGGGUAGUGGAACUCCAUGUGUAGCGGUGGAAUGCGUAGAUAUAUGGAAGAACACCAGUGGCGAAGGCGGCUACCUGGUCUGCAACUGACGCUGAGACUCGAAAGCAUGGGUAGCGAACAGG
rnacentral:rRNA from 1 species